UGGGGAAUAUUGCACAAUGGGGGAAACCCUGAUGCAGCGACGCCGCGUGGAGGAAGAAGGUCUUCGGAUUGUAAACUCCUGUCGUUGAGGACGAAGAUGACGGUACUCAACAAGAAAGCCACGGCUAACUACGUGCCAGCAGCCGCGGUAAAACGUAGGUGGCAAGCGUUGUCCGGAAUUACUGGGUGUAAAGGGAGCGCAGGCGGAGGGACAAGUUGGAUGUGAAACCCAUGGGCUCAACCCAUGGCCUGCAUCCAAAACUGUAACUCUUGAGUAGUGUAGAGGUAGGCGGAAUUCCCGGUGUAGCGGUGGAAUGCGUAGAUAUCGGGAGGAACACCAGUGGCGAAGGCGGCCUACUGGGCACCAACUGACGCUGAGGCUCGAAAGCAUGGGUAGCAAACAGG
rnacentral:rRNA from 1 species